ensembl:lncRNA
UCUGAAUGACACACAGGAGCUGCAGAAAGAGCUCAAGCUCCUGAAGAAAGACUAUGAGAAGGCGUCGCAGCAGAGGAUCUUCGUCCGGCAGGAACAACAAGAUGUGGCUGAGGAAGUGGAUGCUGUGACAGCAGAGUGUUUGGCUCUGAGGGAGCAAGUGACUAUCUACGAGGAGCAGCUGGCCAGCAUGGAGACCCUGCACAGGACGAUAUCCUAAACGCUCAGACCACCUCUCAGUCAAAGGACAAAAGUUGAGACAGAGUUGAUUUGGACACGUAUGAAGAAGAGAUACUGGACAGUGGAGGAUAUGCUGGAGCCCAACGAAGGGAUCACCCGGGCAGCAGUGAUUAAAUUUGGCAGCCCUGACAUUGCUCUGGCUUUGGAUGUAAAAAAGUACUACUGCCAACUGGCUGAGACACUCCAGUAUGAGUGCGGUGCAGCCUCCUCUGCUGUGGUCCACAGUGGUGACGGAAAGGAAGUGGAAGUGGGAGGAACUGGAGGGUCAACGGUCAAAGACUUGACAAAGAUAAAGGACGCCGGUGAGAUAAAGAUGCUGAUUUCAGAGCUACAAAAGGAGCUUGCUGAGCUCGAGAAGCAUAACGAGGAAUUGGAGGACGAGGUUGAAAUGAAGAAGGCUGCAUACAUGGAUGAGAUUGCUGAUCUAGAGGCGACUAUAGAUGAAAUGAAGUGUCAGAAGGCCAAUUUCCAAGAACAGAUGAAGGAGCAGUGUGAAGACUAUAAGUUUCUGCUCACUCAGAAGAUGGCCAGAGACAUGGAGAUUGCUGCUUACAGGAGUCUAGUGGAGGAAGAGGAGGAGAGACUGUGCAGCCUGUGACUUAAGCCUGAGCAGUCAGAUCUGCUGUCCUGACUGUGGUUGUGCUCCCCAACACAGACAAAAGACAAACGCGUAAAAACAGACCCCAUUUCUGCACUUCGAUGAAGCUUAACGCAACGAUUCGGCAAUUUGAGCAGACGUAAACUUAGUAUGACAGAUUAAUGCUGUCUGGAGGCCUACAGUAAGCCGGGCCAUUGAUUACAGGUUUCUGGCAGAUGACCCUGAUACUCCAAGAAAGAUGGAGCUGUCUAAAACUGGUGGGGGCUGUGGGAUGAGUGUGUAUCCGUGCAGCGUCUGGAAGGGAUAUUUCGUUAAGUGAGGUUUUAUCUUUACCAGCUCUCUGAUAUGACUCAUAAAUGCUUUGUCCCCUCUUUGUUGAACAAGACUGACACGCAAUCGCAGAUAAACACACACACACACACACGCACACACCCUCAACUGUGCGGCUCCGCGGAGUCAUUCCCGCUCUGAUAUCACCUCGUCCAUCACUCAGCCUCUGUCUGGCUCUUAACCUGCGACCCCGUCACUGUUAACAAAGACAAUGACGGCUCUCUCUUUGGUAACUAAAAGCGUUUCGCCUUCCCUUUGCUUUUUCAGCCAUACAUUUGAGUUGGUUUUGACGGCCGAGAGUCCAGCGUGCUGUGUUUGCUUUUCAAAUGGUUCAUGAAGUUGUUUUUCUGCAGCUCUUUCAAAAUGAGCACCUGGAUCUUUCCACAAGAAAAACUCUGUGUGAUUAAUCAUUGCUUCUUUCAAAAGCAGUGUCCCAAUUUACUGUCGUUUCGGAAAUAAGCAUUCGGUAAUACAUUCCCUAGUAAUCUUUUCCUUAUUUUCUACAUAAUGUUAAAGCCGUCUGCGAUAAAUCAUUUUUGGUUGCUGCCUCUGCACAAGCAUCAAAAUGUACUUUAGAUUUAAAUUGAUUAAAA